rnacentral:rRNA from 1 species
AUUGAACGCUGGCGGCAGGCCUAACACAUGCAAGUCGAACGAGCGGCGGACGGGUGAGUAAUGUCUGGGAAACUGCCUGAUGGAGGGGGAUAACUACUGGAACCGGUGGCUAAUACCGCAUACCAUCAGAUGUGCCCAGAUGGGAUUAGCUAGUUUGUGGGGUAACGGCUCACCAGGGCGACGCUCCCUAGCUGGUCUGAGAGGAUGACCAGCCACACUGGAACUGAGACACGGCCCAGACUCCUACGGGAGGCAGCAGUGGGGAAUAUUGCACAAUGGGCGCAAGCCUGAUGCAGCCAUGCCGCGUGUAUGAAGAAGGCCUUCGGGUUGUAAAGUACUUUCAGUGGGGAGGCGUUACCCGCAGAAGAAGCACCGGCUAACUCCGUGCCAGCCGCCGCGGUAAUAC